GGUGACUAUUCCGUUCUGCCUGCCUGAUGACUUGCUAGGUGGAACGCUGUCACCCAGAUUUGAAUGCUUCUUUUGGAAGGGGGCAAGUUGAUCAAGGAAAGUCUACACUAAUCUACAGCAGUGAGCAGUUCUUACAUUUGGCAAAUGGAAGUUUCCUUGGGUUUGCACUUUGCCCCAGAUCUGUUCACAGACAGAUAAAGGUUUGGCAGAAGUCUUGUAUUCUGGAAAAAGAACUUGAAGACAGUGUGCAUGCAUAUUCAACAUCAAACAGGUGAAGGAAGAGAUAAGUCCUUGAAUUCUACCAGGCUAAGAUAGCCAAGCACCCUCUUAUCUUAAGGUGGAUUUCUGUCUCUGGUCAUCACAAACCCCCUCUCCGGGUUCUGCUUUGAAUUUUCUCUUCUGGACACAGAUAACACAGCAAGAUUUGGACAAGAUGACACCUUUUGCAUUUCCUUACAAAAUAAUUCACUGCCUGUGAAGCCUAAUGAACCUCUGUACAGAGUAGAUGGAAAUCAUGCAUCUGAACUGUUGAUGAACUCCCAGCCAUAAACCCUCAUGAACUGGGUAUAGGUUAUAUAUCUUUAUAGCUUACUUUGGGGAGAUCUCGUUACUUUGUAACUGUUACACAUGGCAGAAUGUCUGUGUUAAAUUAUAUAUUAAAAUGUCUAUAUUAA